rnacentral:piRNA from 1 species
UGGUCACACAAAGCCCGGAGCUGGAGC